rnacentral:pre_miRNA from 1 species
CUCUUUGGUAUUCUAGCUGUAGGUUAAAUUUUUAAGAAACAUCCUAAAGCUUUAGUACCAAAGUU